rfam:Variovorax paradoxus strain TBEA6 VPARA_contig000053, whole genome shotgun sequence.
GCGCAGAGUAGAAGCGUUCAGCCCUUGCGGCAGGAAAUUGCUCUUUCA